AUUGAACGCUGGCGGCAGGCCUAACACAUGCAAGUCGAGCGGAGCGGCGGACGGGUGAGUAAUGCCUAGGAAUCUGCCUGGUAGUGGGGGUUACGUCCGGAAACGGGCCCUUAUAACCGAUACCUUGAGAUGAGCCUUGGUCGGAUUAGCUAGUUGGUGGGGUAAAGGCCUACCAAGGCGACGAUCCUGAACUGGUCUGAGAGGAUGAUCAGUCACACUGGAACUGAGACACGGUCCAGACUCCUACGGGAGGCAGCAGUGGGGAAUAUUGGACAAUGGGCGAAAGCCUGAUCCAGCCAUGCCGCGUGUGUGAAGAAGGUCUUCGGAUUGUAAAGCACUUUAAGUUGGGAGGCGUUACCAACAGAAUAAGCACCGGCUAACUUCGUGCCAGCAGCCGCGGUAAUAC
rnacentral:rRNA from 1 species